GUCCCAAGCAAACAAUCAAACUUAGCCUCGAUGGAUCAACUAUUGUUACUAUGCUCACAUUUCAAGAGUACCAUGUGUACAACAAAGUUCUUCUCUUUGAAUGAAAUAUUAGCUUAAAAACUCACCCAUAUUACCUUAGUCCUCUAUGGGGCUUAUGGCUUUUCCUUUGUCUUAGGCGGUUGAAAGAUAGAACGGUUUGACUUGAGCACUCAUUUUCUUAUUCAUAGCAAGUUUCAUACCGGAGGUUUUGUAAUAUUUUUUUUCAAAUGAAAACUUAAUGUUCCUCAUAUGGUUCUCUCAAGUCACUCGAAUGGUGUAUGAUUCCUCACCUAGGCAUAUGAUAAGAAUUACCUUCCUUAGUUCUUCCUACUUCUAAAAAGCAUAUGUGGAGUUCAAGGUAGGGAUAAAGAAAGAUAGAAUACUCACUUUGCAUUUAUUGGGAAGUCAAAGCUUGGAUCCAAGAAGAGAAGUGUCAUACCCCUAGAUCAAGAUGUGCAAGUGUGUGGUAUAUAAUGAGCUAGGUUGCUCCUUUAUUUGAUAAGAUAUCUCUCUCUAUUUUUUUUUCUAUUAAGACAUGGCUAGCUCUUUUUUUCUUUUCUUCUUUUUUCAUGGACCUUCAUGUGCCCAUAUGUAUAUAUAUGUUGCAUAGCCCUUUUGGUGUCUCAUCUAUUACGCCAUAUUUGGAGAGGUAUUCUAAUACUUAAAGCAAGGAGCAAGUUAUUUGGUGGAAAUGGAAGACAUAUUUUUGCGUACUUCUAGUGUAGAAGCAGCAUGUAUAUAUGUGGUGUGUGUGUGAUCUUGAUCUUGGGAGCAUGAUAAGUCUCUUAAACAAGGGUCAACAAGACUUGACAACACUCAACACAAAUCAAAUAGCUUAUGUGGAAGGUUUAUAAACAUGUAGAGCAUAUAUGGCCGUGGUAGGAAUUUAUCAUCAGUGAGGAACAAUUAAGGUUUUGAUCAUUUUAAGAAUAAAUUCUCAGGUAUUGCAACAUGCUUAGAACAAUACUAUAGCAGCUCUAAUCUCACUAUCUCAUAUCCCUCAACAACUUAGACUUAGUUUUAGCACUUGCAACCCACAAAGUUUUUGGGUUCAUGAUGGUUUAAGUGAGCUAAGUAAUACAUACUUGGAGAAAUGCUAGGCUGUAAACUAGGUACUAAGGAAAUAUUGACAGAGUAACUAUUCAUCAUUUCCAUAAGGAAGAUAAACAUACAUGAAGCAUAUGUGUUAAGCGAGAUAAGCAAAUAUUUUUUUGAUAUUUUCUUUUUUUGAAUGCACUAAGAUGAAUAACUAGAAUGCAAAAUGCUAAGAUAGAAUACUUACCUUAGUGGGGGAGAGGAUCUCCCCCAAGCUUGGCUUUUGCUCACUGUGGCGGCGGAUAAUGUUAGAACCAUCCGGCCCAUCAUUGUGCUUCCUUAGCUUGUAUUGCUUGUAGAAGUUGGGCAUUUUGUUGUGCCAGCUGCAGCAUUGCUUCUUAUUCAAUGUGCAUUGCACCCGUGUUGUUGAUGAGGUCGUCCAUCUCUAUCCUUGUUGGGUAUUUUAAACGCAAACAGAAAAAUCCGCAAGCGCACGGAUACCGAUGUAACUUUCACCCGGGAGUAUUCCAGAGUAUCGAUUUUCCACAGGGAACGUGAGUGUACUAAUUAAGAUCCAAGAUCGCCCAAGGAUAACUAUAUACUUAUUUUUGGUGGGAAGAGAGGAAGUUUCCUGAGAGUUCUCUAGUUGAUCUAAGAAUCAAGAUUUAUUUCAAGAUUAUCUAUAUCGGGACAUCAGAGCACUAACCACAGAAAGAGAUGAGAAGGGGGCUAGGAAGGUCUGACUACGGUCCUACAAACACCGAUCCGAACGAGGUGGAAUACGUCGACCGUUAGGGCUGUCACUACCCUAAGGCUACCACAACAAUCCGCAGGAUUGGGUGCAAUUCCAGGUAAUUGCAAGACUAAACACCACGUCUAAUCUAUUAAUUACUACUCUAAUGUUGCAAAGAUUAGAGCACUUGAUGCAAGCGGGAAUCCAAUAAACAACUUGAAUGUAAAUAAAAGUAAUUAAAGAACUCAGGAUUAUGAAUUGAAGAACCUGGAGAACGAUGAAGAACGAACCAGUUGCUGCAAAAGUACAAUGUUGAGGAAGAUCCGACAGAUCCGGCUCCUCCUCCUCCGCUCUCCUCUUCUCUCUCCCUAUUUUCUAGAUUACAACUAGAACUAACUAGAACUAGAACUAGAGGAACUAGAACUAGAACUAGAACUAGAUGAACUAGAACUAGAUCUAGAUGAACUAGAGGUAGAACUAGAAGAACUAGAGGGAUCCUCUCUACUUGGAUGAAGACUUGAAACCCUAACUUUGAUUCUGUAGAAGAGGUAUGAUCUCCAGGGGCCAGGGGGGUCUGGUUUUAUAGUCCCUUCAAGUGAAUCUGGGCUGUCGGAUCAAACCGACAUUGAUCGCAUGGUUUUCCUUGAUCCUUUAGGUCUGUGGAGCAUAAUCCGCGAAAUGUGUCCUGAUUGGGCACUGUAGCUGGGCGGGCGCCCAGGAGAGUUGGGCGGGCGCCCUGCCUCCGAGCCCGAUUUCCUUCCCAUUCGUUCCCGUGGCUUCUGGAGUCUUCUAGAUGAUAGAAAAUUGCGCGACACAUUAAUAUCUCUAUGUAAACCCGACGUGUGGGCCUUUCUUUCAUAUUUCCUGAUAACCCCCUGCAGAAAUAGACAAACACCAAAACUCGUGGAAUUCUGUCAGAUAAAACCCUAAGUCUAGGUGUUGGUUGCAUUUGGAUCCUUUUCCAUGAUUAGUUGAUGGUUAAAUGUGAGCAUUAAGGACCGUCAACAAGCUCCCCCAAGCUUAACCUUUGCUCGUCCCUGAGCAAAGCUAAAAUCAGUAAGAAAAUAGGGGUUACUAUUAUGCCUCUUACUACAGGGUUUUUAAGGUCUUAAGUGAUUGAAAAACAGAACGAUCAAGUCAAGCACUAUGUCUCAAGUUCUUCUGUCUUAGCUUUGUUCUGGAGUUUUUUUUUUAUGAGUCUGCAAAAUAAAACCGAGGCAUUUGCCUUCUUCUCGAAAGAUAUAUAUAAGUAGAGCUUUAAAAGUUUUAGCAUACUUACUUUGCAUUUUGCUAUGUCAAUGCUCGGAGCAAGGGAGAGGAAUGUCAUACUCCUAGAUCAAGACCUUUGACCUUUUUGAGAAGUUUGUCAUCUCUUACUGGCAUAUUGCUUAUUAGAGGGACCAUGGGCUAUCAUUUUUUUUUCUCUUUUUUUUCAGUCUCUUUUUUUUGAGUGGGCAGCAAGUACCCCUAAUUCUACUGUCGGACACAUGUCCAUUUUUUCCACUCAGGUGGGUAUCUUUGUACCCUUAAUUCUACUUCGGACACUUGUCCAUUUUUAUCUCUCAUCUCACUCUUUCUUUUUUUUCGAAACAAAUUUUUGCAUAGUCCCAUGCCUCUAACGCAAUAAUACUUCGGAAGAGUGAAUCUUUUAUAUUUUUAAAACAAAAAGAUCUUGAUCUUGGGAGCAUGAUAAUUCUCUCAACCAAAACUACAAGAAUUAACAAUGGCUUGAACAAAGCAAGUGCCCACAGUUUUAAUAUUUAUAUCUUAUAAGACUCUAGGUAUUAUGAUCUCAUAUAUUUUUUUUAUGAAUUUUUAGAUUUUCAAAAGAUAAAAUCUCCAGAACUCUAGCAAAACAUGGAACAAGUUAAAUAGUAGCUCAGACCUUCUCAUAUCAUGUUUGUCAAUUACCUAGACUUGAAUCAAACUCUUUUUUUUAUUUAAAACUUAGAAUUACACAAAACUAUUGUAUAUUACUCAAAAGAAAAACUUUGUUUGGUUUCAUGGUUAUGCAUUUUUUUAUUUCCGAAUACUAGUAAAUAAAACCAAGAAAGAAAAGUAAUACUUAUCUAGAUACACGUGGGGGUGCCUCCCCCAAGCUGGAUGUUGACAUAGUCGUUCACUCUUGUGGCCUGCAUGUUCGGUCUCACUCUUCUUAAGCUUCAAAAUCCUGCACAACCCAAAUAGACAACAAAACUCGUGGAACAUGUUAAGGGUUAGGUAAUUGUCUAGAGCUUAUGAGAGCUUAAUAUGAGAAUUCUAUGAACUCAAUCACAUCAAGUUCCUCUACCAGGUUGUUUUGUGGCUCGAGAUAGAUUUUCAAGCGUUGACCAUUUACCUUAAAAGUGUUACCUAUGUCAUCUUGGAUGGUAAUGGCUCCAUGAGUUGAAGUGUCAAUAACCUUGUAUGGUCCAUCCCACUUACUUCGUAGCUUACCAUGCCCAAAGAGCUUAACUCUUGAAUUGAAUAGUAGAACCUUAUCUCCAGACUUAAACUCCUUGUGCUUGAUUCUCUUAUCAUGCCAUCGUUUUGUUCUCUCUUUAUAAAUCCUUGAAUUGUGGUAGGCUUUCUCUCUCCAUUCUUCUAGCUCAGAUAGUUGCAUCAGACGAUUCUCACUAGCGAGGUGGAGAUCCAUGUUCCAUUUCUUAAGUGCCCAAUGAGCCUUAAACUCUACUUCCACAGGCAAGUGACAAGUUUUUCCAUAUACAAGUUGAUAAGGUGACAUGCCUAUGGGUGUUUUGAAUGCAGUUCUAUAUGCCCAAAGUGCAUCAGGAAGUUUGUCCUUCCACCCCUUACCCAUCUCAUCUACGGUCUUUUGUAAAAUAUUUUUGAUUUGUUUGUUAGAUGUUUCGGCUUGACCGCUAGUCUGAGGAUGGUAUGGUGUUGCGACGUUGUGUCGAACUCCAUGAUCGGCUAGGUACUUCCGGAAGAUUUUGUCGAUGAAGUGAGAACCUCCAUCGCUUAUAACUAUCCGGGGUAUACCAAAGCGAGGAAAGAUUACUUCAUGGAACAUUCUCUUGGCAUGUUUUGAAUCAGCUGAUCGACAAGGUAGGGCUUCUACCCAUUUGGACACGUAGUCCACAGCUACUAAGAUAUACUCGCAAUUCCCGGACAUAGGGAAUGGCCCCAUGAAAUCAAUGCCCCAAACAUCGAAAAGUUCUACUUGAAGAUUAUUUGUGAGAGGCAUUUCAUUUCGUGAGUUAAUAUUCCCAUGUUUUUGACACCGGUGGCAUCUCCUGACAAAGUCCUUUGUAUCUUCAUACAUCGUUGGCCAGAAAAAACCACUUUGCCAAAUUUUAGCAUGUGUCCGAAAUGCUCCAUAGUGUCCUCCAUAUGGCGAGGCAUGGCAUCUUUCCAUAAUUUGAGUAGCCUCAACCAUAGGAACACACCUUCUCAAGAGUCCAUCAGCGCAGACUCAGAAAAGAUAUGGCUCAUCCCAAAGGUGGAAACGACUAUCGUGAAGCAACUUCCUUUUGUUUGCACCAGGUGGGACAUAGCCUUUUACUAUAAAGUUUACGAUGUCUGCGUACCAUGGAUCUGCAUGUGUUAUCUUAAGCAGGGUGUCAUCCCUUAGGUAGUCAUUUAUGGGAAGCUCAUCAUGUGUUUCCUUAUAUUGAAGCCUAGAUAAGUGGUCGGCUACGGAAUUCUCAACUCCCUUCCUAUCUCGGAUUUCUAUGUCAAAGUCUUGGAGUAGAAGAAUCCACCGAAUUAGACGAGGCUUACCAUCUUUCUUAGUGAGGAGGUACUUGAGAGCAGCAUGGUCUGAAUAGAUGAUUAUCUUCGCCCCCACUAAGUAAGAUCUAAACUUGUCUAUAGCAAAGACAACAGCCAAAAGCUCUUUUUUAGUUGUAGUGUAAUUGAGCUGUGGUCCAGACAAGGUUUUGCUAGCGUAGGAUAUGGCAUAAUGCUUUUUAUCCUUGGUUUGUCCUAAAACGGCCCCGACCGCAAAAUCGCUAGCAUCACACAUGAUCUCAAAAGGAAGAUUCCAAUCAGGUGGUUGGAUAAUCGGGGCUGAGAUGAGUGCUUUCUUAAGAGUUUGAAAAGAUUCAUGACACUCAUCACUAAAGAUGAAAGGUGCAUCCUUAACUAGGAGAUUAGUUAAGGGUCUAGCAAUUUGAGAGAAAUUCUUGAUAAAGCGUCUAUAGAACCCUGCAUGUCCCAAAAAGCUACGGAUUCCUUUCACAUUCGUGGGAGGUGGAAGUUUUUCAAUAACUUCAAUCUUUGCUUUGUCCACCUCUAUACCACGUUCGGACACUUUAUGUCCUAGCACUAUUCCUUCCUGAACCAUAAAAUGGCAUUUCUCCCAGUUCAGGAUUAAGUGCUUUUCUUCACAUCGCUGCAAGACUCUAUCUAAAUUCUCCAAACAAUGAUCGAAGGUUUUGCCAUAGACAGUAAAAUCAUCCAUGAAAACCUCCAUGAUCUUCUCAAUCAUGUCCGAGAAAAUAGACAUCAUGCACCGUUGGAAAGAAGCUGGAGCAUUGCACAAUCCGAACGACAUUCGUCGGUAUGCAUAAGUUUCAUAUGGGCAUGUAAAGGUAGUCUUUUCUUGGUCAUCUGGGUGGAUUGGGAUUUGGUGGUAUCCAGAAUAACCAUCAAGGAAACAAAAGAAACAGUGGUUUGCAAGCCGUUCCAACAUUUCAUCAAUGAAGGGUAACGGAAAGUGAUCUUUCUUUGUAGCCUUAUUGAGUUUUCGAUAGUCAAUACACAUACGCCACCCAGUGACAAUUCGUUGAGGGAUGAGUUCAUUCUUCUCAUUCCUAACGACCGUCAUUCCUCCUUUCUUUGGCACUACUUGGACAGGGCUAACCCACUCACUAUGUGGCACAGGAUAAAUAAUCCCAGCACGAUAGAGUUUGAGGACCUCUUUCUUAACAACCUCUCGCAUAGCAUUGUUAAGUCUCCGUUGUGGUUCCCUUGAAGGUGUAGAAUUGGGAUCAAUAGGGAUACGAUGAGUGCAGAGAAUGGGACUAAUGCCCGUGAGAUCCUCGAGAGAGUAGCCAAAAGCUGAUCUAUGUCUUUCAAGAACAGUGACAAGUUGUUGUGUUUCAUAAUCGGAAAGCUUGUCACUGAUAAUUACUGGAGUUUUUGAGUUGUUGUGCAAGAAGACAUAUCUAAGGCCAUAAGGAAGAGGUUUUAAUUCUUUCGAAGGAGGUGAAGGUAGUUCAUUUUUGUCUAGCUCAACGGGUUCUACCAACUCUUCUUCUUCUUGAACAAAGUGUUAGUGAUUAAAGAAUGGUUGGGUCAUCUCCUCUUGAGUCACCAUUAAGACCUCCUCAAUAGGAUCUGGGUCAAGUUUGGGUUCCACUAUCGUGUUAAUUGAUCUAGCAAGAGGAACAACAAUAGUGGAAUUCCCAACCUUGAAGUCUAAAUGACCUCGUUGUGGUUGUUCCUGUAGAAGUUUCAUGAUUGGUCUGCCAAUCAAGAGAGGAAUCUCUGGUAUGUCAAAAAUGUGAAAGUCUAGACAUAUUCCAGAGUCCUUGAUUCUAACAGAAACUGCCCUUAAUACCCCAUGGCUUUCUAGAAUUAACCUAGAUGGACUUUGUAAAAGUUUUUGAGAUGGGGUUAUGGACUCGUUGGGAUGAAGAGUGUCAGCUAACUCCUUGGAAAUAACAUUUAUCCCAACAUAUGGAUUGUAGUGGACCUUCCUAGCGGACCUUCUAAUUUGGCAUAGAAGAAUGGUUGAAGGAGUGAUGAUCCGAGCUACCUCAGGAGACAGCUUUGCUUCUGUUAGCCAUUCAUAACUCAGAAUAGCUGAAAGGCUUUUGAUGUGUUCUAUGUCAACAGAUUCUACUCUUAGAACAGAUUGAGUGGUCCUUGCUAGAGGUCGUGUUUGGAUAGGAAAAUUCGAGGUGUUUCCAUAAUCUUCAAAAAGAUCUUCCUCGAAUUCAAAGGGAUGCUCUAAAGGUGGUGGUUCAUCAUCCUUUAGUUGGUUUUGCAUUCCCUUAUCAGGAGGUUUCUCUACAACCAAAAUAAUAGGUGGGUCAGGUGGAAUUUCUAACUCGGUUGCAAGUUCCUCUUCUUUUGGUUUAGGAUUAGGCUCGACUUCUUUUUCUUCUUCAGGAAACUCAUCAUAAAUGCCUGUGUAAGGGGUAUUUUCAAGAAUUCUUUCUAGGAUAGCUCUCCCCUCAUCUGUGAGUUUGUGUUUGAAUGAGCCUCCUGAAGCAAUGUCGAGGUGAAGAGCAGCCUCCUUGUUUAGACCACGAUAAAAGUGGUAGUACAGUACAUGGUCAGGCAGGGAAAGGUUUGGACCGGAAUUGGUAAGGCUUGUGAACCUAGCCCAAGCUGCUCCUAAAGUUUCCUUCUCUCUUUGUUUGAAUGUAAGAAUUUCUAUUCUAAGGUCAGCAAUUCGAAAAAGUGGGAAGAAAGCGAGACAAAAGUUGCCCCGAAGUUCAUCCCAACUUCCAUUAACGCCUCCUACAGAAUGAGCAUACCACUUUUUUUGCUCUUCCUAAAAGGAAGAACGGAAAUAAUUUCCAUUUAAGGGUGCCUUGUGUCAUGCCGGAAAUAGAUCGGCAAGAGCACAACUGCUCGAAUUCUCUAAGGUGGGUGUAUGGAUCUUCAUCUACUUGCCCAGAGAAGGGUUGCUCCUGAAUCAUGGCUAUUAGAUCAGGGCCGAGGUCGUAGCCAUCUGUAAGAAUUGGAUGUGAUGAUGGUGGUGGCUCCAAUAACUCACCCUUUGGAGCAAAGAAUUUAUAGGUAGGAGUGAAAUCCAUGUGGUAUGGUGAAAAUGGUAAGGUGAGUGUGGUAAAAGGGAAAAGAAAAAGGAUACAUGGACGACUUGGUUCGAAACUAGCACAGCUACCGUUCUCCGGCAACGGCGCCAGAAAUCUUGUUGGGUAUUUUAAACGCAAACAGAAAAAUCCGCAAGCGCACGGAUACCGAUGUAGCUUUCACCCGGGAGUAUUCCAGAGUAUCGAUUUUCCACAGGGAACGUGAGUGUACUAAUUAAGAUCCAAGAUCGCCCAAGGAUAACUAUAUACUUAUUUUUGGUGGGAAGAGAGGAAGUUUCCUGAGAGUUCUCUAGUUGAUCUAAGAAUCAAGAUUUAAUUCAAGAUUAUCUAUAUCGGGACAUCAGAGCACUAACCACAGAAAGAGAUGAGAAGGGGGCUAGGAAGGUCUGACUACGGUCCUACAAACACCGAUCCGAACGAGGUGGAAUACGUCGACCGUUAGGGCUGUCACUACCCUAAGGCUACCACAACAAUCCGCAGGAUUGGGUACAAUUCCAGGUAAUUGCAAGACUAAACACCACGUCUAAUCUAUUAAUUACUACUCUAAUGUUGCAAAGAUUAGAGCACUUGAUGCAAGCGGGAAUCCAAUAAACAACUUGAAUGUAAAUAAAAGUAAUUAAAGAACUCAGGAUUAUGAAUUGAAGAACCUGGAGAACGAUGAAGAACGAACCAGUUGCUGCAAAAGUACAAUGUUGAGGAAGAUCCAACAGAUCCGGCUCCUCCUCCUCCGCUCUCCUCUUCUCUCUCCCUAUUUUCUAGAUUACAACUAGAACUAACUAGAACUAGAACUAGAUGAACUAGAACUAGAUCUAGAUGAACUAGAGGUAGAACUAGAAGAACUAGAGGGAUCCUCUCUACUUGGAUGAAGACUUGAAACCCUAACUUUGAUUCUGUAGAAGAGGUAUGAUCUCCAGGGGCCAGGGGGGUCUGGUUUUAUAGUCCCUUCAAGUGAAUCUGGGCCGUCGGAUCAAACCGACAUUGAUCGCAUGGUUUUCCUUGAUCCUUUAGGUCGGUGGAGCAUAAUCCGCGAAAUGUGUCCUGAUUGGGCACUGUAGCUGGGCGGGCGCCCAGGAGAGUUGGGCGGGUGCCCUGCCUCCGAGCCCGAUUUCCUUCCCAUUCGUUCCCGUGGCUUCUGGAGUCUUCUAGAUGAUAGAAAAUUGUGCGACACGUUAAUAUCUCUAUGUAAACCCGACGUGUGGGCCUUUCUUUCAUAUUUCCUGAUAACCCCCUGCAGAAAUAGACAAACACCAAAACUCGUGGAAUUCUGUCAGAUAAAACCCUAAGUCUAGGUGUUGGUUGCAUUUGGAUCCUUUUUCAUGAUUAGUUGAUGGUCAAAUGUGAGCAUUAAGGACCGUCAACAGUCCUUUGGUGGCACCUUUCCCUGCCCCGUGGGUGAGGAGUGCGUUGUGGACGUGGAGGCCUUUCCAUGGACCCUCAUAUGUCCAUAGAGCUUGCCUCAUCGCCUUCUUCAACUUCAUCUCCUGCAGGAUUUGAGGGAGCACAUUGCUCCAUUUAAGCAGCUCGUGACAUUCCUCUUGUCAUUUGGCGUGGUCCUACAAUAUUUUGGCUACGUGACUCUUUGUCUAAUUUAAUGGUUAGCGUACGAAGCGCAUACAGUUGACAUUUCUCACAAGGGAGAGGAACUUCAACUGUAUAGCCCGAAUAAACCAUUUUAAGUCCAAACCUUGGACCUCUUUUGAGCACAUUAAUAUUAAUGAAGACAUCCUCAUUUAAAACAUCUCUAGCAGAGGUGAUGUACUCAAAGGUAUGUGGCUCUAGUGCAUCCGUUGAUUCGGCUAUACGAGUAAUGAAUGAUGUAAAGUAAACGGGUUUUCCAUACUCAAUGGAGUUGAGCCAAUAGUCCACUAGCAGUUUAACAGGUGAGACCUUAAUUUUGCAUACCAUUGCAUAGAGAAGUUUAAGUUCUUCAUCACUUAAGAUGUUACCUCUAGUUCUAAGAAAAAGAGUCAUACACAUCCACUAAUGAAGAAAACACAGGGUCAGGUUAUGGAUUUGGUGGGGUGUAAGAUUAGAGCAAUCGUUGGAACCAGAUAUUGCUUUCCAAAAGUCAUUUUUCUAAACCCGAUAGUGGCAUGGUCUAGAUCAAGUUCACAAUUGUGCUCACAUCCUAGGGUAGUGUUCAAGAUGCUCCAAGUUAAAUGACAUUUUUCCCUAAACAUGUGAAAGGCUACGCCAUUGAAUGUUAAUUGUAAAGUACACAAAAAAUCUUGGGUGAUCACUUCUAUGCCAAGUUCAGGAACCAUCCAAAAUCCUCCCCAACCAAUUGUGUUAAAAACAGCAUUAAACUCUGCACUCAUACCUGUGUGGUCCAAGAGAACCGGAUCGAUGAUGCUUGUGCAGCGGAAACUGCUUGAUCGUAGGGUGUUGUAUUUCUGCAGCUCUUCUUGGGUUAGCAUGAGGCCGCUCCCGGGCUCUCUUACUCUUGGUGGAGGCUCAUAGAGUACCACUUGGUGGUGACUCUCUUCCUCAUCCCUCCUCUCAUGGGUUCCUUUGGUGUGGUGAGAGUUAUGGGAAGAGCUCUCACCCUUCUUGGACUUCUUAAACCGGGAGGUGAGUAACUUCUUCAUCUUGCUACACAAGUGAGACAAACCAAGCUCCUACUAUUCCUACUAUGCAAGGGAUAAAGGGCAAAUCUUUUUGGGUUUUUGUUUUGGUAUGCUACUACUAAGCUAAACAUUGAGAGAGAACUUGCAACAAGACAGAAGAGAAGAAUGCUUGUGAGCUCAGGAUAUUCUAAAUGGUUGGGUGUGGAGUUGAGCUCACAAUGCAUGGGUAUUUAUUGGGGGAGUGCCACACCCUGGUUUAAAAAAAUAAACCAGAGUCAUCAUAUGUGUGCCCAAGAAGUCCACACAUAUAACAAAAGAAUAGAAAUAUCAGAAACAAUGUUAUAUAUAGCGGAAAACAUAUUUAUAAUAACAGUUACAAACAUCGGGCCCAAUAUAGUUGUUAUGGUGCUUAAUCUGUAGACAGAGUAUGUGGAAACAGUAGCUAAACUUCUUUGGCUCCAUUCUUCUCAGGGACGGUUGACUGGGGGCUGUGUAUGCCAAGCACUUCUCAUAAGCUUCUAGAAAUCUCCAUGACAUCUUAACCUUCUUCUGAGCAGCACUUUGCUACGCACUGGGGGUGUGGGGGAAAUAGCAAGGGUGAGUUCAUGUCGAACUCAACAAGUACAGGUAGAAAGUAUAAUGACAUGCAAGGCUUAAUCAAAGGAAAAGCUGACACUGUUUAACUACAGGUGAGCUUUUAAGUUGGUAAACUUUUGUUACGAUUCUUAUAUUAAAACAACCUAUUACUAAAUAUGAGUGAAGCAUCCCAACCCUUAAUUAGAUGAAAGUAAAUUAAUAAUACUAUUACUCAUCAUUAUAAUUAUUAUUAUUGUUAAGAUCUCUGAGGUAGCAACCUCAAAUAGUAACUCGGGGUAGCAACCCCAUUAAGGUCAUGGGAUAGCAAUCCCAAUUAAGAACACAUGAUAGCAAUCCUGCCAACACGGAAUAGCCAUUCCGCCAAAGCACGAGGUAGCAACCUCAACCAAAUUUCGCCUCCAAGUUUCAUGUUAUUCCAAUUUGCUCAUCAUGUGAGAGUCUGGGCCGCUCGUGACCGUGAGCCCGGCUGAUAUAUCAGUUUUACACUCUGCAAAGGUGUGCACUUUCACUCCAAGUCAUGAUUCCCAUUCGCCCGGGGUCGCGACUCCCCAAAACACUACCAAGGUGAGCAGGUAGGGAUUCACUACGAGACCUUUCACAGGUUCCGACUAAUAAGAUGCCACUCGUAAGUUUUUGCCAGGGCGCGCAGCAGCCGUGCCCAUAGCAAUGGGACCCCGCACUGACCGACCUCUUAAUAUGAAUACCCAAGCUACUUCCUUACGCCUACCUGGAAAGUAACACCCUACCAGCGGAGGUCCUGAUAAUUAGUCAUGCCAGAGCCAAAUGGCUUGGAGCUGCACUGUAUGUCCCAGGGGGCCGCUCCAUGACUAAGUCCUUACGGAGAGCAGAGACGGGUACGCUCGGCAAUCGGGCCAACCAACAGUACCCGCUCCCCCUUUCCUCAACAAACUACGAUGCUCACAAGCACCGCUACAUCUUCGUCACCGAAGUGACCAUUAUCCACCAUUGGAGCAUUAUUUAUCAUUAAAGAAUUCAUUAGGCAAGAUUAUUACUUUUAUUAUUAUAUAAAUUAGAUGAGCAGAGCAGCUAAGCAUAACUACUGUUCACUAUUCUACCCAUAUAUAAAACCCAGGAGUACAAGGAAUACAAUAGAAGGCUAGUCAGGUCCUUAGGGUUUGCAGUAUUAAUACACAUGCAGUUAAAGUGAAUAUAAUUAAAGUUCAUAGAUACAAUAUGAUCAAAGGGUGCCUGCACUUGCCUUUAUUCCCAGUGUAUAUCUGCUCAGAAUUCUUUGACUUCUUUCUUGUGAUCUUUAUCUUCUACUGCAACUAAACGACAUGGCUUGUUGCUAUGAUCGAGACAACGCGAGAACGAUUAAGAACAGAGCUAUCGUUAAACGGACACGACUUUCAAGGUUUAAAGUGUAACGGAGAAGAGAACUAUACGCUGGUAGUAUUUUGUGAACACAGGUCAUGGAUUAUUCAAAGAAAUAUCUGAAAGUUGAGUUGACCAAAUUAUAAAGAAUUAUAAAAGGUUAGGGUUAAAUGUUAGUCAUAUUCUAUUUAAUAAAUAAUUAUAUACCACUGAAGCCAAUCAAGCAUUUAUAGAAUAUAUGAAAGCAACUAAUCGAGUGAUUAUAUAUCAUGUUUAAACUAAUCAAGUUGUAAUUAAUAAAGAAACAUUAAGGUUGAUAUUAAUAACAUGGGCAUUUAUUUAUUUUCAAAAGAUCAAAAUUAUAAACAUAAUUUACUUUUAAUUCAAAAUGACUUUAGAUAGAUAUUACUAAAUUAUUUAUGUGCUUCAUGUUUAAAUAAGCAAAUUAUAAUUAAGAAAGUAUUUAAGUUCACAUUUGAUUAUAAAGAUGCCGAAGUGUAAUUCUAAGUUGUUUUUAAAUUAAUUAAAUAGAAAUGCAUUUAAAACAUUAAUCAGAUUAAUUAUACUCAUAAACAUGAGACAAUGAAAAUAGCAUUGCUAAUAUGUAGAUUACACCAACAUAGUCACAACGCAACGAGAAACAAAUUACAACCCUAGAUUGUUCUUUAAUUUAAAAGCUAUUUAAUAGAUAUUAAUCAAAUUAUAUUUAAAUCAAUAAAUUCAAGAAUAAGAUACAUGAUAAAUAUUUAUACUACUACGUAAAGCGCGGCGAUACGAAACUAACUCGACAAGAACGGGCUUAAUCGGAGUUAAAACGCGGAUUCUAUGGCUAAAACUAGGUCGGUGGCAAGAUAGUGAAUAAACAGAACUAUUUUUCGUAUUUUAAAUAAUUAAAACUGAAUUUUAAAAGCGUUUUGGACUAAAUCUUUAAAUACCAAUGGAUCCAGGUGCUAGAUUGCUAAAAACAGGACUUAAACCUAAUUAUUUCCGAACUACUCAGAACUGCGGGUUAAUUUAGAAAAACCGCAGGGGCUUUUUCGCAAGAUGGCCAGGGUGAACCGGGUUUUGGCCGCGUUGACGGCCACGCGGCGCGGCGGGGUAGGUGGGGUGCAGGAGGCGCGCGCGGGGUGAGCCGCGCCCUAGGUUGGAGCGUGGGCGAGCUGGGCCAGGAGCGCUGGCGGCCCACGCGGCAAGAGUGAGGGGGGGAAGGGAGCUGGGCCGGGGAAGAGGGGGGACGGCCCAGGGAGAAAGAAAACCCUUUUUCUUUUUUUUUAAAAAAAAAAUUGAUUUCUAAACUAUUUUACUAAACCAAUUUCAAAACCAUUUUGAAUUCCUAAUUUGAGAUUAUUUAGGAGCUUGUUUUCUUUAAUACUUUUGAAAACCAAGCACAUUUUCCUUAGAUCAUAUCUUUAAAUCAUUUUUCAACUCAAAAUGAAUUUAGUUUUCGAAUAGGACUUUUAGAUUUUUAUUUUUAUUUUUCUUUUCAAAAACCGAAAAGGGCCGAAACGGGCUCGAUAGAAAUUUUGAAAUUUAUUUUUUUACACAAGCCAAACAAAGCUAGGGCACAAAGCACACAAUAACAAAACAAAACACCCUUCACUUGUCUUUAUAAAAGUUUUAAAAUUCCAAAUUUUUCUCUUUUUAUAAUAACAACAAUUAAUAAAAUCUUGCAAUAUUUUAGAAAAAAUUGAAAUCCUUAUUUAAUUUAGUGUUUUUCAAAUAACAAUCCAAAAAUUAAAAAUUUUGGAGUGUUAUAGAUCUACCCCACUUAACAUAAAUCUCAUCCCGAGAUUUGAAGAAACUAGAGAGAAAGAUAAAGUAGAUCAUCAAAGUUGUUUCGAGACUUUCAAGACAUGAUCAAAGAAUUAAAUAUAGACAUAAAGGGUAGAGAGUAUGGUAAAGAUUGAAGACAAGGAAAGAUAAUCGUAUGAGAUUAGAAUUGAUCUUUGGAUCGUGUAUUAUGAUAAGGUGCAAGGGCAAGAAGCAAAUAUUAACAAGAGAUGAUACAUAGGAGAUGGAUAUAAUAUUGCUCACAAUUUCCUUGAUUCCGGGUAUGUAUAAGAUAGUAGACGAAAGGAUAAAGAAUUAGCAGAAGUUGACAAAGACUUAGAUUUUUUUUAAGUCUUCACGCUUAAUCAUUUGUAGUCCUAUGAGACGUAGGAUCAAAGAUCGUCGAUUGGCAAACAUGAUAAGGGUUCAUCGCAAGAAUGAUAAAGAUUCUUAUAUAGUUCUCCAUGUCUUUCUGAUUAGAGAUUUUCGAGAGUGAUGAUCGUAGCGAAUGCUGCCCCACUUAGACCAAGUGUUUGCUCAUCUUCAAAACUCCUAUAUAAGAACACUCAUCUUGUCCGUAGAUAAUCUGCAAAGUUUUCCUUUGGAGGUUACUAGUUCGACAAUACACUGCACCUCUUAAGAUUUGAGGGACACGAAGAGAAACAAAAAGAUGAUUAGAAAGAAUAGAUUGAAAUAAUCUCAGGUAUCUCAAUAAAGGUGUGAGACUUAAACCAAAAGUCGAUAAGGUUAUCUAGUAGAAGGUUCUUGAACAGUAUCUAGAAAAGCAACCCAAGGGGUCUGUUAAGAUUGACCAUAUAUCGGUAUGGUUUUCAUCUGACUUUCAGGUUAUGCAUUUUGUCACGUGAUAGUCCAUCAUAUAUUCCAGGGUGAAAAAUAAGUCUUAUCUUAGGACCUCGGUUUCUUAAUGCCUUGCUUUGAUAGGUCAACAGGCAUCACACUUUCUAUGAUACUUGGUGCUUCUUUGUGGUCUCCAUAGAUGAGUUCUAAGCAGAUUUGACCUACUACUUGCAGUGUUGGGAGAAUGAUGCAAGAAAGAACUACACAAAGGAUGUUGACUCAUUCUAUAAGGAGUAUUUAAGAUCGCUUCAUAGGUAAGCACUACCACUUGAUGUUGGGACAACACUAGGUGCUUCGCCCAAGGUUCCGUCGGUUACCAUAAAAAGACUGAACAUCUGGUCAAACAACUCAUUACUCAUACUAGAAGCUUAAGAAUGAUAAGGUCUGAUGAAAUAGAUGUCUCACUUUACGAAGAGGAUUACAAGUUGCUUGAAUGCAAAAAAUCUUUAUAAGCUAAAAGGCAUAACUGACUUUAGAUUUCAUAGACCAUUAUUGACUAGCUCAAAACUAUCUGGGUCCCUUAAUAUAACUUGCUUCACAUAAGAUGUUGAGAAUAUAUCGCCUUUGUAUAAGGUCCACAUUUCUUUCAAACUGCCUCGUUGUCGAUACAAUCAUUACAUUAGUCCUUUAAACCUUGGGGUGAGGUCGAGGUGCCUUCAUACACAAACCUGUCUCCUGAUGGGGUGAUUAGGGAUACUGAGUGUUGGGUACAAUCAAUCUCUCCAUGACAAGCAGUUAACCAUCCUCUUCCAAGAACGACAUCAAUCUCCAUUGACUCUAGGACUAUAAGAUUUACCUCAAAAAUUACACAUUUUAUGUCGAGACAAACUUUUGGACACAUGUAGGUUGCUCUUAUUUUCCCUCUUGGUGAUUUGACCAGUAUGAGUCUCUUCAUUUCCAACAUAAGCAUCUUAUGAUCGGCAACACAUUUACUCGAGAUAAAAGAAUGUGAAGAACCUGAGUCGAACAAAACAGUGGCAGGAGUUGAGUUGACUAGAAUUGAUCCAAACACCACAUUUUGUGCUUCGCAAGCAGUACACAUAUCCACAUGGUUCAAUCUACCAUUAACAUAGUCACGAACUGGGUACUUCUUUGGACAAUGCUUCUUGUGAUGUCCCUCUUCGUGACACUGGUAACAAGCAUUGCUAACAGUUUUAACAUAGGUGCCAUCCUAACAUUGAGCUCCUUGAAUUGAUGUGCUAGGAGUAACUAAAGUGCUACUAACUUGUUGGUUCUGAGGGUUCACUUUCAAUGGAGUCUCUUCACUAUUUCGCUUCUUAGCUUGAUUACUUUUUCGAGGAUGAAGUUCUAUGUAGGUGAUGGUCCAUCCAUCUAGGCAUAACUCUGGCAUAGCAAGUGUAGCUGAAGGGGCAUCUAACUCUUCAAGAUAUGAAUGUGUCUGAUGAGAGUUUGGAGCUAAAUCUAACUGCCAUGUAGAACUCAGAUUUGGCUCAACACUUAACAGUGGCUCUAGGGAGAUUGCCUUCUUUUCUUGUUACCUUCACUCUGUUGAUCCUAGGGUACUUCUACCUUUCCUUCGCUUGACUUUUUCUAAAGGCACGGUAAACCAUAAUAUCUGCAACAAUUACAUGGCUCUUGAAUCCCAAGCGCCUCAUUAAUACCAUCUGUUGACGGUCCUUGAGUAUCAAAUUUAAUUAUCAAAUAAACAAAGAAAAGGAUCCAAAUGAAAUCAACAUCUAGACUUAGGGUUUUAUCUAACAGAAUUCCACGAGUUUUGGUGUUUGUCUAUUUUUGCAGGGGGUUAUCAGGAAAUACGGAAGAAAGGCCCACACGUCAGGAUUACAUAGAGAUAUUAACGUGUCGCGCAAUUAUCUUACAUCUAGAAGACUCCAGAAGCCACGAGACCGAAGCGGAGGCGAAACGGGGCCAGAGGCAGGGCGCCCGCCCUCCUGCCCUGGGCGCCCGCCCCCUCCCUGAGUCCAAUCAGGACUCUGCUUCGUGGGAGAUCUCCACCGACCUAAAGGAUGAAUCUAAACCAUACAAUCUAUGUCGGUUUGAUCCAACGGCCCAUAUUCACUUGAAGGGACUAUAAAACCAGACCCCCUGGCCCCUGGAGGAGAGAGCCUCUCAACCCUAAUUCAUUGUUCUUCAAGGGAGAAGAAGUCUCUGAUCAAGAUUAGAGCCACCACAUCAAUUAGAUAUCUAGAUUAGCAUAGCUACAUAGGAUUGGAGUCAAUCUUCGAUUGGUUUCCGGAUCUAUCAAGAGGAUUCUUGGUAAUUCUCUAAUUGUGCUUCUAAUUACUUUCUAAUUAUCUUUGUUCUUCAAUAUUAUGAAUAUGACUUUGUUCUACUUCAAUAUAUUGCUUAUGACUUUGCUCUACUUGCUUAUAUUCAAGAUUAUAUUGUUCUUAGUUUAUCAUAGUUAUGUACUUGGCUUAGUUAGAUUGGAUCUAUAUACAUGCUUAGGAUCGUAUAGCGUUUAUCCAUCGAAUCCUUGGGUAAAUGAUAGAUAUUGUGUAGGCGUGGUGCUUAUACCGUAUUUAUCUGCGAUUGUACCCAAUAUGCCAGAUCGUGGGGUGGUUCAUGAUAGUGACAGCUUCAUUGAUUCUUAUAUAGUCCCCCUCUUGUGUAUUGGGCUGGCAGAGCAACAUUAUUACAGGGGAGUGAUUGCUAUGUUUCUCAUAUUCCUUGCUAAUAUCACUAUGCAUGGGUGUAGUCUUGUCUCGCAAUGAUUGCUAAGUAUGCUUGCACUAACUAUGAUAAUGCUAGACUAUAUAGUUAAGAAUAACUUAGGGAAUAUUCUUGUAGUUCGUUCUAAUACCAUGCUAAUGACUUUCUAGAGUAUCUAAUUGAGGUGCUUAUCAUAUUUAUAUGUGGCUGAUCACAUUAAUUACCUUUGUCACUAUUCAUUAUUUCAUAUAUCUUUUAUGUGACACUUAUCCUUGUAUGAAGAGUUAGAUAAAUGUUCUCAAUUAUACAUGCAAUGAUAGAUGCUCAAUCUCAUAUUCUAUUCUGUAAUCAAUAUUGAUGAUUGCUAAUCUCUUCCCAGUGGUAAAAAUAUAAAUAACGAUACCUGGAAUACCUCCCGGUUAAAAUGCUACAUCGGUAUUAAUCUGUGCGCUUGCAGAUCCCAUUCAUUAUUUAUUUAGAAGAGCAAUUGCAUUUUUCAAUACCGCGUCUCUCAUGUCAUGCUGGGGAUGACAACUUGGCUUAAGUGGUAUGAGGGAUAGGUUUGGCAUUUUUGGCACCGUUACUAGAUUUAGAGAACUUAGUCUACUUUUGGUAAUGAUGUUAAGAAUACCCAACACCAUCUUUCCUAGUUUCCAUGUUCCUCCAGACUUCUACUAUUUGUCUCUUCAUUGCUCUUUCCUGAGUUUUGGUCAUUGUCUUCUCUGAAUGUAACUGAGAAUCUUUUUGUGGUCCCACUACACUUAGUACUUGAUCCUGUGUAAACAAAGGCUUCUCCUUGUUUACUAGUGACAAGGGUAACAUGGUUGGGUCUUUCUGACAUUUGAUGUAAGCUUCUUCUAUGUCACCUUGGAGAAGUAGAGCUUGUACAAUCAAAAGUUUCUAGAGUCUGGCCAUCUGAUCAGCUGCCAUCUUUAGGAUCUGAGCUUGCCAGGCUAUCACCUAUUCACCACUUAGUUGUGUUGUAGAAGGCAUUUGUUGACUCUGAUCACUGGUAUUAAUUCCUUUGACAUCAUCAUUGGUGUCGAUCAUCUGACAUUAGGCAAUAGUAGAACGAGCUAGGGUAGUAUGGACAAAGAGCAUGAUAUGAAGUGAGAGAAAAUAGGUGGAGAGGAUCAAGAUUGACAAUAGAUGGAUAGGAUAAGAGAGAUCACUACCCCACUUAGCAAAGAUCGAGCUAACCCUCAAACAACUUCUUCUAGACCUCCUUCAAAACACUAGAACAAAGACAACACACAAACAACAAACCAAGCAAAACAAGCACGCAACACAUCAACAUACUACACGUGCUUCUUCAACAAUGGUGGUCAUCCUAAAAGGUAGGUCUGAGAUGAUGAAGGGCCAUCGACAUUGGGAAAUAAAGCAAGUUUUGAAAACUUAAGUAAAACACAUAAUAAACAAAAGCCAAGGAGAUAAAUAGAAAUAGCUCAAAGGAAGCUAUUCAAGGAGGGGAUACAACAUGACAAGGAUGAAGAAAUAGUCAAGGGAUGAGAAAAUAGUUUUAUAUCAAAAUAAGCUUUAGAAAUCGACCAGUGCUAUCUAGGCAUACGUCCUACAGUCAACAUUGCUUUGAUACCAUUCCUAUCACACCCUGGUUUAAAAAAAUAAACCAGAGUCAUCAUAUGUGUGCCCAGGAAGUCCACACAUAUAACAAAAGAAUAGAAAUAUCAGAAACAAUGUUAUAUAUAGUGGAAAACAUAUUUACAAUAACACUUACAAACAUCAGAGUAUGCGGAAAUAGUAGCUAAACUUCUUUGGCUCCAUUCUUCUCAGGGACGGUUGAGUGGGGGCUCCGUAUGCCAAGCACUUCUCAUAAGCUUCUAGAAAUCUCCAUGACAUCUUAACCUUCUUCUGAGCAGCACUUUGCUACGCACUGGGGGUGUGGGGGAAAUAGCAAGGGUGAGUUCAUGUCGAACUCAACAAGUACAGGUGGAAAGUAUAAUGACAUACAAGGCUUAAUCAAAGGAAAAGGUGACACUGUUUAACUGCAGGUGAGCUUUUAAGUUGGUAAACUUUUAUUACGAUUCUUUUAUUAAAACAACCUAUUACUAAAUAUGAGUGAAGCAUCCCAACCCUUAAUUAGAUGAAAGUAAAUUAAUAAUAUUAUUACUCAUCUUUAUAAUUAUUAUUAUUGUUAAGACCUCCGAGGUAGCAACCUCAAAUAGUAACUCGGGGUAGCAACCCCAUUAAGGUCAUGGGAUAGCAAUCCCAAUUAAGAACACAGGAUAGCAAUCCUGCCAACACGGAAUAGCCAUUCCGCCAAAGCACGAGGUAGCAACCUCAACCAAAUUUUGCCUCCAAGUUCCAUGUUAUUCCAAUUUGCUCAUCAUAUGAGAGUCUGGGCCACUCGUGACCGUGAGCAUGGCUGAUAUAUCAGUUUUACACUCUAUAGAGGUGUGCACUUUCACUCCAAGUCGUGAUUCCCAUUCGCCCGGGGUCGCGACUCCCCAAAACACUACCAAGGUGAGCAGGCAGGGUUUCACUACGAGACCUUUCACGGGGUCCGACUAAUAGGAUGCCACUCGUAAGUUUUUGCCGGGGCACGCGGCAGCCGUGCCCAUAGCAAUGGGACCCCGAACUGACCGACCUCUUAAUAAGAAUACCCAAGCUACUUCCUUACGCCUACCCGAAAAGUAACACCCUACCAGCGGAGGUCCUAAUAAUUAGUCAAGCUAGAGCCAUAUGGCUUGGAGCUGCACUGUAUGUCCCAGGGGGGCGCUCCAUGACUAAGUACUUACGGAGAGCAGAGAUGGGUACGCCCGGCAACCGGGCCAACCAACAGUACCCGCUCCCCCUUUCCGCAACAAACCACGAUGCUCACAAGCACCACAACAUCUUCGUCACCGAAGUGACCAUUAUCCACCAUUGGAGCAUUAUUUAUCAUUGAAGAAUUCAUUAGGCAAGAUUAUUACUUUUAUUAUUAUAUAGAUUAGAUGAGCAGAGCAGCUAAGCAUAACUACUAUUCACUAUUCUACCCAUAUAUAAAACCGAGUACAAGGAAUACAAUAGAAGGCUAGUCAGGUCGUUAGGGUUUGCAGUAUUAAGACACAUGCAGUUAAAGUGAAUAUAAUUAAAGUUCAUAGGUACAAUAUGAUCAAAGGGUGCCUGCACUUGCCUUUAUUCCCAGUGUAUAUCUGCUCAGAAUUCUUUGACUUCUUUCUUGUGAUCUUUAUCUUCUACUGCAACUGUUGGUCCUCAGCUCCUGGUCUUUACUGUUGACGAACCACACUUCUUCUACUCGAAGCAAACAAGCAACACAAAUAGACAAACAACAAUCACGACUAAGAUCAAACGACACUCAAAAGAAAAGCUUAGAAAGAGGGCACUAAACGACAUGGCUUGUUGCUAUGAUCGAGACAACGCGAGAACGAUUAAGAACAGAGCUAUCGUUAAACAGACACGACUUUCAAGGUUUAAAGUGUAACGGAGAAGAGAACUAUACGCUGGUCGUAUUUUGUGAACACAGGUCAUGGAUUAUUCAAAGAAAUAUCUGAAAGUUGAGUUGACCAAAUUAUAAAGAAUUAUAAAGGUUAGGGUUAAGUGUUAGUCAUAUUCUAUUUAAUAAAUAAUUAUAUACCACUGAAGCCAAUCAAGCAUUUAUAGAAUAUAUGAAAGCAACUAAUCGAGUGAUUAUAUAUCAUGUUUAAACUAAUCAAGUUGUAAUUAAUAAAGAAACAUUAAGGUUGAUAUUAAUAACAUGGGUAUUUAUUUAUUUUCAAAAGAUCAAAAUUAUAAACAUAAUUUACUUUUAAUUCAAAAUGACUUUAGAUAGAUAUUACUAAAUUAUUUAUGUGCUUCAUGUUUAAAUAAGCAAAUUAUAAUUAAAAAAGUAUUUAAGUUCACAUUUGAUUAUAAAGAUGCCGAAGUGUAAUUCUAAGUUGUUUUUAAAUUAAUUAAAUAGAAAUGCAUUUAAAACAUUAAUCAGAUUAAUUAUACUCAUAAACAUGAGACAAUGAAAAUAGCAUUGCUAAUAUGUAGAUUACACCAACAUAGUCACAACGCAACGAGAAACAAAUUACAACCCUAGAUUGUUCUUUAAUUUAAAAGCUAUUUAAUAGAUAUUAAUCAAAUUAUAUUUAAAUCAAUAAAUUCAAGAAUAAGAUACAUGAUAAAUAUUUAUACUACUACGUAAAGCGCGGCGAUACGAAACUAACUCGACAAGAACGGGCUUAAUCGGAGUUAAAACGCGGAUUCUAUGGCUAAAACUAGGUCGGUGGCAAGAUAGUGAAUAAACAGAACUAUUUUUCGUAUUUUAAAUAAUUAAAACUGAAUUUUAAAAGCGUUUUGGACUAAAUCUUUAAAUACCAAUGGAUCCAGGGGCUAGAUUGCUAAAAACAGGACUUAAACCUAAUUAUUUCUGAACUACUCAGAACUGCGGGUUAAUUUAGAAAAACCGCAGGGGCUUUUUCGCAAGAUGGCCAGGGUCAACAGGGUUUUGGCCGCGUUGACGGCCACGCGGCGCGGCGGGGUAGGUGGGGUGCAGGAGGCGCGCGCGGGGUGAGCCGCGCCCUAGGUUGGAGCGUGGGCGAGCUGGGCCAGGAGCGCUGGCGGCCCACGCGGCAAGAGUGAGGGGGGGAAGGGAGCAGGGCCGGGGAAGAGGGGGGACGGCCCAGGGAGAAAGAAAACCCUUUUUCUUUUUUAAAAAAAAUUGAUUUCUAAACUAUUUUACUAAACCAAUUUCAAAACCAUUUUGAAUUCCUAAUUUGAGAUUAUUUAGGAGCUUGUUUUCUUUAAUAUUUUUGAAAACAAAGCACAUUUUCCUUAGAUCAUAUCUUUAAAUCAUUUUUCAACUCAAAAUGAAUUUAGUUUUCGAAUAGGACUUUUAGAUUUUUAUUUUUAUUUUUCUUUUCAAAAACCGAAAAGGGCCGAAACGGGCUCGAUAGAAAUUUUGAAAUUUAUUUUUUUACACAAGCCAAACAAAGCUAGGGCACAAAGCACACAAUAACAAAACAAAACACCCUUCACUUGUCUUUAUAAAAGUUUUAAAAUUCCAAAUUUUUCUCUUUUUAUAAUAACAACAAUUAAUAAAAUCUUGCAAUAUUUUAGAAAAAAUUUAAAUCCUUAUUUAAUUUAGUGUUUUUCAAAUAACAAUCCAAAAAUUAAAAAUUUUGGAGUGUUAUAGGGAGAAGGGCAAGUGGUGGAAACCCUAUGUAGGGAUCAACCGACCCCCCUCCUAGCACUUUAAUUCAAAAUUUGCUUUGGCCAGGGAAUCUUACAUCAAAGUAUGAAAUCACUUUUCAGAGAUGGUCCAAAGUGGGGUCGUCCGACCCCCACCCUAAGCCCUCUUUUGCUAGGUGUGGACCAAAGGGCUAGGUGUGGACCAAAAGUAGUGAUCUUUUUUAGAGAUUCCCUUGCCUAGUGCUUAGUGAAAGAGAAAAGAUGAUAGGCUAAAGUGGAGACAUGUCAUAAGAUAUUCCCAUGGACCAUGGAGACACUAAAGCAUGCCUAUGUGACCACUUUGCAGGAGUUGAGCAUGGUGGCAUGGUCCCAACACUUUAAAGAUGAAAGCAACAUCUUAUGUUUAAAGUGAUAAAGCAAAGGACCAUUUCUUUUCAGACCUUGGUUAGAGUGGUAUGCAUAGAUUUAUGUGUUAAGCAUCUGGGAGACAGUAGAGUGCAGGUGACCCAAUAUGGGGGUCAGGUGACCCCCCACUUUGGUCCUCCACUUGCACCCAAGUCCUGGCAUCAUAUCACUAUACUAAGCCAAGGUGAAAGAAUGGUCAGUGGGCCCAAUGGUGCGGUCAGGCAACCCCACUUUUGGUGGUCCAACUGCUCAAAAAUUAUUGCAAGUUGUUCUCAAGUAUUUAUUUAUUGGGGUUAAGUAUUUUGUCAAAAAUAAAAUAUGCAAGAUUAUAACUAAGAAUGCAAUUGAAAAGUGCAAGACAAGAAUGCAGAAAGCAAAUAUGAGAUAACUAUUUAUUUACAUUCCAGCAGGGGCUCCAUGUUUUAGGUCCAUAGAGCAGGACCUCUCCAUUUUGUUCAUGCUUUGGGUGCCUCGGAUGGUCCUAGAGAUGGGGACCGUGAUUGCACCUUUCUCCCGCCAUACUGGUUUGAUUUUGGCCUGUGGUUCAGCGGGUUCUUCCUUCUCUAGUUUGACUUUGUUGGCCGACUCACCUUUCUUAUUCCUUCGGCGCGGGUAAUAGCGAGGUUUGUUCUUCGGUGCCUUGUCCUUCACUUGCAUGUUAGUUUUAUAACCAUUGAAUGGACACUUUACCUUUGCUCCUAGGAAUUGAAGAUGAAUUUGGCCGGACCCCACAUAGAUGAUAAUGUUGGCUGUGUUAAGGAAGGGCCUUCCCAGGAUGAUAGGAUUAUCAGCUCCCAUGUCUAGGAUGAUGAAGUCGGCGGGGGCGUAUUUGUCUUGUACUUUGACUAGUAUGUCCCUUGCUAGUCCCUUAGGGAACCAGAUCGUUUGAUCGGCCAUCUGCAAUUGAACAAAUGUUGGGAGCAAAGGCCCCCCUAAUAGGUUCUCAUAAGUUACCUUGGCCAUGAUGUUAACACCUCAUCCAAGGUCGCAUAAGGUGUUGUGGAAGAUUUGUGGUCCAAUUUCACAGGUGUUGGUUGGGUGGCUUCGAUCGUCCUUCUUGGUGAUUAAUGGUUGGUCAAGGAGAUAACUCUAGUUUGACUGCAAUGGAGGCUUACUGAACCUUAUGUUUACUAAUUUAACACCUUCAAUUGGAUCCUCAGGUUUCCCUAGGAUCUUACCUUGCUCGAUGGAUGGGACACCUGCUGCUAGUUGAGCUAAUUGUGUUUCUAGCAUUUUAUUGAAGCUCAAUUGAUUUUUCACAGCAGAGUUAAAGCUAUCCAUUUUCUCACUUAAGUUUUCAAGAAUCUUAUCAUUAGCCAUCAUUUUCUUAUUUAUGCUAUCAUUUAUUUUGGACUAGCCUAAGACAAGAUCUUUAAUGAAGGUUGGUUACCAUAAGAAUUAUUGAAAUUAUUGUUGUAACUAUUUCCUUGGUUUUGGUAGAAGGGACGCGAGUUCCAUCCUUGUUGUUGUUGUUUGGGCCCGUACCCAUUGUUGUUGUUGUUGUUGUUGUUGAUGAUGAUGAUGAAGCUCACUUCCUCCUUUGUUUUGGGACAAUUAUUUCCCGAAUGAUCUUCUCCUCCACAUACUUCGCACCAUGGACCAGCUUCGACGACUCGUGCGGUUGCGUAGGGUUGAAUGACCUCUUGUUCCUUCUUGGAACCUUUUUCUACCUUUUUCAUCAAGAGGUCCAUUUUAGCGGAGAGCAUGUCCACCUCAUUGAGGGCGUGGACACCUCUCUUCUUGGGCUGGAGGCGUUCCUCAUUCCAUUCUUGAUUUGUAACCAUCUUCUCUAUGAGGUCUUUGGCAUCCAUGACGUUGUGUUGCAAGAAUGCGCCUCCAGUAGCAGCAUCAAGGUGACUCUGGGCCAAACCGGUUAGGCCAUGGUAGAAACCUUGAAUGAGGAGCCAUUCCUCUAUCCCAUGAUGAGGACAGGCACGAAUGUACUCCUAGAUAUGUUCCCAUGCUUUGGGGUUUGUCUCAUUAGCUUGUUGUUGGAAGCUGGAGAUCUUUCCACAAAGGGCGCUGGUUUUGCCCAUCGGGAAGAACUUCUUGAGAAAUGCAUUGGCGCACUUCUCCCAUGUGGUGACCUCACUUUUGUUGGUAUAGAACCAUUGCUUCACCUUUAUCAAUAGCAAGAAUGGGAAAAGGCUGAGAUGGAUGGCGUCUGCAGAAACAUUCUUGAUAGUGAAGGUACCACACAACUCCAGGAAGUGUUGGAGUUGGGCGUUGACGUCCUCAUGUGGCUUCCCAGAGAAAGGGUUGACUUGCACCAUGUUGAUGAGUGUUGGCUUAAACUCAAAAGUUGCAUCACCCAAGUUAAUCUGUGGACCCAAGGCAACAUAGUCAGCUGACGAUGUAGAGUACUCAGAGAUGGUCUUUUGGGCCAUAACCUCCUUGAAAAUUGGUGCAGAACCUCCUUCCUCGAAUAGAUUUAGGAUCGAGAUGAACCUUUGAGGUUGAGCUUGAUGGCGUCUAACUAUCCUCAACAACUGCUCAGGAUCUUCAACAAAAUAUGAUGGCAGUUGGAAACCACUCAUUCACCUUCUAGUUCCACGAUAACAAGAAACAAGAUAGGUGCGGGGUAAGCCCCUACACUAAUUGAUAACUAGACCGAUAGUAGACUCUGGAUUCACUUUUAUUAAAAUUCCUAGGCUGACGCUUUCCCCGGCAAUGGCGCUAGAAAUGCUUGUUGGCAAAUCUUAGCAUCGUCACUAGAUGUUAGCAACGAUGCAAGAAAUGCCAGGUGGGUACUUCUUGUGUCUAUUGGAUUGUUCCGCAAGCGCACAGAAUAUACCGAUGUAGCACUUCACCGAGGAUGAGUAUUCCAAGGUAUCUUUAUUUAUUUUAUCCCAAGAGAAAGCAAUGCUAGGAAUAUUUAAAAAGAGAAGAGAUAUCCUUAUGUCUACUAUGAUCUACUAUCGACUAGUGAAGAAGGAGGGUAAGUGAUUGAUAGGAAGGGUAGAUAAGUAAGGUAGCAAAGAAUCUAAGCUAAAGAUAACUGGUAGAGUGUUAGCUAGGUGGGAGGACAACGAGUGAGUAAAGGACUCCUAUGUAUCCUACUUUACUUCUUUGUACUUGAUCCUAAUAGAUAGCUGACUCAACUAGACUAAUGCCAUACUCCUUGUGUGAGGGGGAUAGCCAAGAAAAUAGGAGAUAGAACCCCUGCUAAAGCAACUAUACUCUUAUGGACGCCUAGCAUUUUAAGAACUAGUUUGUACGUGAGGAGAUCCUAAUGCCGAGCACGACCUGUCACGUCCAACCAGUGCGCUCCUACCGUCCGUCCAAACCAACGACUAUCAAAGGUGAUCCUUAGUUUAAGCACCGCACUUACACUAACUCUCACGACUCUAACUAUGGCGUAGAUAGCUCAAGCUCCUAUGCAAGAUAGGACGAUGAAACACACACAAGGAGUUGGUUAUAGGAAACCAAUCAACCUAAGUCAACUAAUAUUACUAAGACAAGCACACAACAAGGCUAUAGUAACUAUAGACUUGUACUAAGUAAAUACUUAAGUAAAUACUAAGUAAAGUAAAGGAAGAAUAAUAUAUUGAUAAAAGUAAACUCUUACAAAAGAGGAAAGGUAUAAGAGCUAUACCAGACUCUCUAGAAGACGACUCCAGAGACCCUGAGCUUCGCUCGACUCGACUCUAACUCCCACUCUAGACUAACUACUACUACACUACUUGAUCCUUGAAGGAUUGAGAGACUUAAUGCUCUUCUAGGGAUGCCUCUCAAGGGUGGAGGCAGCCUCUAUUUAUAGAGGAGGGAGAGGGGGUGCCACAUCAGUGAUCCGUCUGCUUCAUGCCUCUCCACCCUUAAAUGAACCGGCUUAGUAACCGCCAUAGAUGGAGGGCCAUGGUAAUUUGGACAUGUGGAAGUUGUGCUUGAGUCAGUGGGGAGCCAACCGACUUGGUUAGGCACCAGGAGGGGGUCGCCUGACCCCUCUAUGGUAGGUGGGCCCAGCCAGGGUCUUCUAGAAGGUGACCCUAGUUAUCAUGUGAAGUGGCUCCACCAUUUGUGAAAGAUUUGUCAUGUUGCUUGCUUACUUGUGGGCCCAUGGAUCUAUGUGCAAUGAUCUUUCACCACUAGAAGUUGAUCUGAGGGUGGAAAUGGACUCCAGGGGUCUCCACAUGGAUUGUACUUCAUAGCACACCUCUUGGUGGGACCAUAAUGGGGUCGCCCGACCCCCUCAUUAGGUCCUUCUAAGGUGCAUUUUCUUGUUUCCAGUAAUCAAAGGCUAAGAGUACAAGUGGAACCAGUUAUGGAUAAAAUAUGUUCAUGUUUUGCUAUUCUUCUGUGAGACCGAGGCAUGUUGACGGUGUUUUGAGUGUGAAUUUCUAUGGUACAUCCACCGUCAACAUGAUCCCCCAAGCUUAACCUUUACUCGUCCCAAGCAAACAAUCAAACUUAGCCUCGAUGGAUGAACUAUUGUUACUAUGCUCACAUUUCAAGAGUACCAUGUGUACAACAAAGUUCUUCUCUUUGAAUGAAAUAUUAGCUUAAAAACUCACCCAUAUUACCUUAGUCCUCUAUGGGGCUUAUGGCUUUUCCUUUGUCUUAGGCGGUUGAAAGAUAGAACGGUUUGACUUGAGCACUCAUUUUCUUAUUCAUAGCAAGUUUCAUACCGGAGGUUUUGUAAUAUUUUUUUUUCAAAUGAAAACUUAAUGUUCCUCAUAUGGUUCUCUCAAGUCACUCGAAUGGUGUAUGAUUCCUCACCUAGGCAUAUGAUAAGAAUUACCUUCCUUAGUUCUUCCUACUUCUAAAAAGCAUAUGUGGAGUUCAAGGUAGGGAUAAAGAAAGAUAGAAUACUCACUUUGCAUUUAUUGGGAAGUCAAAGCUUGGAUCCAAGAAGAGAAGUGUCAUACCCCUAGAUCAAGAUGUGCAAGUGUGUGGUAUAUAAUGAACUAGGUUGCUCCUUUAUUUGAUAAGAUAUCUCUCUAUAUUUUUUUUUCUAUUAAGACAUGGCUAGCUCUUUUUUUUCUUUUCUUCUUUUUUCAUGGACCUUCAUGUGCCCAUAUGUAUAUAUAUGUUGCAUAGCCCUUUUGGUGUCUCAUCUAUUACACCAUAUUUGGAGAGGUAUUCUAAUACUUAAAGCAAGGAGCAAGUUAUUUGGUGGAAAUGGAAGACAUAUUUUUGCGUACUUCUAGUGUAGAAGCAGCAUGUAUAUAUGUGGUGUGUGUGUGAUCUUGAUCUUGGGAGCAUGAUAAGUCUCUUAAACAAGGGUCAACAAGACUUGACAACACUCAACACAAAUCAAAUAGCUUAUGUGGAAGGUUUAUAAACAUGUAGAGCAUAUAUGGCCGUGGUAGGAAUUUAUCAUCAGUGAGGAACAAUUAAGGUUUUGAUAAUUUUAAGAAUAAAUUCUCAGGUAUUGCAACAUGCUUAGAACAAUACUAUAGCAGCUCUAAUCUCACUAUCUCAUAUCCCUCAACAACUUAGACUUAGUUUUAGCACUUGCAACCCACAAAGUUUUUGGGUUCAUGAUGGUUUAAGUGAGCUAAGUAAUACAUACUUGGAGAAAUGCUAGGCUGUAAACUAGGUACUAAGGAAAUAUUGACAGAGUAACUAUUCAUCAUUUCCAUAAGGAAGAUAAACAUACAUGAAGCAUAUGUGUUAAGCGAGAUAAGCAAAUAUUUUUUUGAUAUUUUCUUUUUUUGAAUGCACUAAGAUGAAUAACUAGAAUGCAAAAUGCUAAGAUAGAAUACUUACCUUAGUGGGGGAGAGGAUCUCCCCCAAGCUUGGCUUUUGCUCACUGUGGCGGCGGAUAAUGUUAGAACCAUCCGGCCCAUCAUUGUGCUUCCUCAGCUUGUAUUGCUUGUAGAAGUUGGGCAUUUUGUUGUGCCAGCUGCAGCAUUGCUUCUUAUUCAAUGUGCAUUGCACCCGUGUUGUUGAUGAGGUCGUCCAUCUCUGUCCUUUGGUGGCACCUUUCCCUGCCCCGUGGGUGAGGAGUGCGUUGUGGACGUGGAGGCCUUUCCAUGGACCCUCAUAUGUCCAUAGAGCUUGCCUCAUCGCCUUCUUCAACUUCAUCUCCUGCAGGAUUUGAGGGAGCACAUUGCUCCAUUUAAGCAGCUCGUGACAUUCCUCUUGUCAUUUGGCGUGGUCCUACAAUAUUUUGGCUACGUGACUCUUUGUCUAAUUUAAUGGUUAGCGUACGAAGCGCAUACAGUUGACAUUUCUCACAAGGGAGAGGAACUUCAACUGUAUAGCCCGAAUAAACCAUUUUAAGUCCAAACCUUGGACCUCUUUUGAGCACAUUAAUAUUAAUGAAGACAUCCUCAUUUAAAACAUCUCUAGCAGAGGUGAUGUACUCAAAGGUAUGUGGCUCUAGUGCAUCCGUUGAUUCGGCUAUACGAGUAAUGAAUGAUGUAAAGUAAAUGGGUUUUCCAUACUCAAUGGAGUUGAGCCAAUAGUCCACUAGCAGUUUAACAGGUGAGACCUUAAUUUUGCAUACCAUUGCAUAGAGAAGUUUAAGUUCUUCAUCACUUAAGAUGUUACCUCUAGUUCUAAGAAAAAGAGUCAUACACAUCCACUAAUGAAGAAAACACAGGGUCAGGUUAUGGAUUUGGUGGGGUGUAAGAUUAGAGCAAUCGUUGGAACCAGAUAUUGCUUUCCAAAAGUCAUUUUUCUAAACCCGAUAGUGGCAUGGUCUAGAUCAAGUUCACAAUUGUGCUCACAUCCUAGGGUAGUGUUCAAGAUGCUCCAAGUUAAAUUACAUUUUUCCCUAAACAUGUGAAAGGCUACGCCAUUGAAUGUUAAUUGUAAAGUACACAAAAAAUCUUGGGUGAUCACUUCUAUGCCAAGUUCAGGAACCAUCCAAAAUCCUCCCCAACCAAUUGUGUUAAAAACAACAUUAAACUCUGCACUCAUACCUGUGUGGUCCAAGAGAACCGGAUCGAUGAUGCUUGUGCAGCGAAAACUGCUUGAUCGUAGGGUGUUGUAUUUCUGUAGCUCUUCUUGGGUUAGCAUGAGGCCGCUCCCGGGCUCUCUUACUCUUGGUGGAGGCUCAUAGAGUACCACUUGGUGGUGACUCUCUUCCUCAUCCCUCCUCUCAUGGGUUCCUUUGGUGUGGUGAGAGUUAUGGGAAGAGCUCUCACCCUUCUUGGACUUCUUAAACCGGGAGGUGAGUAACUUCUUCAUCUAGCUACACAAGUGAGACAAACCAAGCUCCUACUAUUCCUACUAUGCAAGGGAUAAAGGGCAAAUCUUUUUGGGUUUUUGUUUUGGGAUGCUACUACUAAGCUAAAUAUUGAG
rnacentral:lncRNA from 1 species